GAUCUACUCCCUUCGUCCCAAAAUUCUUAUCUUAGAUUUUUCUAGAUACGGAUGUAUCUAACACUAAAACGUAACUAGAUACAUCCGUAUUUAGACAAAUCUAAGACAAGAAUUUUGGGACGGAGGGAGUACUAU
rnacentral:pre_miRNA from 1 species